GGAGCGCCCGGCCGGCCCUGCCCGCAUGUGCUGUGUUCACACGGCAGCAAGGCACGGGUGCCCGACAGGACAUUGCGGUGCUGCAGCGUGUCCAGAGAAGGGCCACAAAGCUGGAGAAGGGUCUGGAGCACAAGUCCUGUGAGGAGUGGCUGACGGAGCUGGGGUUGUUUAGGCUGGAGAAAAGGAGGCUCUGGGCGACCUUAGUGUUUUCUACAAGUCCCUGAAAGGAGGCUGUAGCCAGUGAUCAUUGAAGUUCUCACUCCAGCUGGGAGGACAGCCAGGCACCUUCAAGAACAAGGGAAUGAUUGACAAUAUUAGGCAGAAAAUUGUCUACCAGAUGCUGCUCAAAAGAAGAGGUGGCAACCUUCCGACCCCCUUCUCAGUACACGAAAUCAUCGCUUCUGUGACACGCCUCUGCCCCACUUGUCAGCUGAGUGGGGAGCACAGGGUCACUUCUGCGUCUGGCUGUUGUGCAGUAAAAUGCCACCCUGCAGACAAGGCUGUGCCUUCUGCGUGAAGGAGGUCCCAGUGCCAGCCAUGCGUUGGAAUGAAGUGGAAAAAUUCACCAGACAUUACACAUUACUUUUCAGUUACCACUCUGAAAUACUGACUAGGUCUGAAUAACCUUACUGGUACAGAAAUGAAAGGAAUUCCAGACAGUCCAUCCUUGGACUGUGAGAGAAUGAACACCUACCAGACCUGCACGGCUUUUUAGAAACCCCUCCCCAGAGGUCUUUCUUUUGUCAUUAGUACUUUAACGUGAUUCACACGUGCACGUCUCUUAAAAGGUUUUGUUUCCCCGCUUAAAAGCGAGGUCAGCUCACUGGAGUUUCAUGCUAGUGCUAAUACAGUGACUAUGGUUCCCCUUUUUACAAAUUAACUAGACUGAGAAAAACAUGGGGAUGAACUUGAAAAAAGUAACACUAACAUUUUCCUACUUAAUUAGCUGACUCAACAUGAAAAAAAAAAAAAAAAAAGAAACCAGAGAGAGAAAACACUUUUUCUGAACAAAAGCAGCGCAGGCAAAAAAACCCGAAGAGUCUACACUCAGGGCAGACACACAGGAUACAUAGGCCUCUGAAAUGCAAGUGUUUGAGCACAAAAUGGAAAUAACCAUGUGUACAUAGCUGGGGUUUUCUUACACACACACAUAAAAGCUAUUUGAGGGAUUUUCUAUGUUGCUUGUGCUCGUUCAUACGGGGUAACAGCAAUGUGCGUGAAAUAACAAUCCCUGAAAUGACACCAGAA